AUGAAGCUUGUAGAUCUUGUGGAUGUCAAAAUUGGUCAGACCUAUGAGCUGGUUGUCACCACCUUUGCAGGUCUUUACAGGUACCGAGUUGGUGACCUUCUCACCGUGACUAGCUUCUAUAAUGCAACACCAUUGUUCCACUUCUCGGGACGACAUGAUGUUAUCUUAAGUAUAGACCAUGAGAAGAUAAGCGAGGAGGAACUACUCAGGGCAAUUUCACAGGCUAUUGAGCUCCAUCUUGGCCCUCUUGGAUACAUGCUCNGUGGAAGCACCGCGUUUGCAGACAUAUCCAAGUUGCCAGGCCACUACGUCCUGUUCUGGGAGCUAACCAACGCAAGGAGUAACCACGUGGUUGGCGACAUCCCCGAUCAAUCCGUCAUGGAGAAUUGUUGCUCGACAGUUGAAGAAUGCUUUGACCAAAUGUACUGCAAAAGCAGGCAGCGUGCGAACAUCACCGCGCUCGAGAUAAGGGUGCUUGAGCAGGGUGCGUUCGACGCUCUCAUGGACUUCUUCGUGUCUAGAGGCGCAUCAGCGGGCCAGUACAAGACUCCAACGGCUAUUCGGUCAAAAGAAGCGAUGACUGUGUUGGAAGAGAGGCUGGUGGCAAGGUUCUUUAGCAAAGAAAUUCCCCGUGGUUAUCUAUAUGAUGAUUACGUGAAGAAAUGA
rnacentral:rRNA from 1 species